UACGUAGGGGGCAAGCGUUGUCCGGAAUUAUUGGGCGUAAAGAGCGUGUAGGCGGUUUGGUAGGUCCGCUGUGAAAACUCGAGGCUCAACCUCGAGACGUCGGUUGAAACCGUCUGGCUAGAGUCCGGAAGAGGAGAGUGGAAUUCCCGGUGUAGCGGUGAAAUGCGCAGAUAUCGGGAAGAACACCCGUGGCGAAGGCGGCUCUCUGGGACGGUACUGACGCUGAGACGCGAAAGCGUGGGGAGCGAACAGG
rnacentral:rRNA from 1 species